CCUAUUGAUGAUGAAGACCUAAUCGAGCAAAUCCUUGCUGGUCUUCCUGAAGACUACAAACCAGAGGUGGAUGCAGUCAACAGUCGUGACAACUUGAUC
rfam:Arabis alpina cultivar Pajares chromosome 1, whole genome shotgun sequence.